UACGUAGGUGACAAGCGUUGUUCGGAAUUACUGGGCGUAAAGGGCUCGUAGGUGGCCAACUAAGUCAGACGUGAAAUCCCUCGGCUUAACCGGGGAACUGCGUCUGAUACUGGAUGGCUUGAGUUUGGGAGAGGGACGCGGAAUUCCAGGUGUAGCGGUGAAAUGCGUAGAUAUCUGGAGGAACACCGGUGGCGAAGGCGGCGUCCUGAACCAACACUGACACUGAUGAGCGAAAGCCAGGGGAGCAAACGGG
rnacentral:rRNA from 1 species